rnacentral:rRNA from 1 species
UACGGAGGUGGCAAGCGUUGCUCGGAAUCACUGGGCGUAAAGGGCGCGUAGGCGGGGAGGUAAGUCGGGUGUGAAAUCCCUCGGCCCAACUGAGGAACUGCGCCCGAGACUGCUUCUCUUGAGUCCCGGAGAGGAAGAUGGAAUUCCCGAUGUAGCGGUGAAAUGUGUAGAGAUCGGGAGGAACACCGGUGGCGAAGGCGGUCUUCUGGACGGUGACUGACGCUGAGGCGCGAAAGCGUGGGGAGCAAACGGG